rnacentral:ribozyme from 1 species
GCAAAGAAAUUUUGCAGAAAUGUAUGUGUUUUGUCGGAGCAAGUUAUUACGAAGGCAAAGAGGAAAAGGAAAGAGAAGGUCUGCUUCUUAUCGUUUUUCCCAUUUGUUUUCUUUUUU